AGUCGACGGUGAAGAGGAGCUUGCUCCUUGGAUCAGUGGCGAACGGGUGAGUAACACGUGAGCAAUCUACCCUUGACUCUGGGAUAACUGCGGGAAACUGUAGCUAAUACCGGAUAUUACCUUGGAAGGCAUCUUCUGGGGUGGAAAGAAUUUUGGUCAAGGAUGAGCUCGCGGCCUAUCAGCUAGUUGGUGAGGUAAUGGCUCACCAAGGCGACGACGGGUAGCCGGCCUGAGAGGGUGACCGGCCACACUGGGACUGAGACACGGCCCAGACUCCUACGGGAGGCAGCAGUGGGGAAUAUUGCACAGUGGGCGCAAGCCUGAUGCAGCAACGCCGCGUGAGGGACGACGGCCUUCGGGUUGUAAACCUCUUUUAGUAGGGAAGAAGCGACUGGGUUUUCCUGGGAGUGACGGUACCUGCAGAAAAAGCACCGGCUAACUACGUGCCAGCAGCCGCGGUAAUACGUAGGGUGCAAGCGUUGUCCGGAAUUAUUGGGCGUAAAGAGCUCGUAGGCGGUUUGUCGCGUCUGCUGUGAAAACCCGAGGCUCAACCUCGGGCCUGCAGUGGGUACGGGCAGACUAGAGUGCGGUAGGGGAGAUUGGAAUUCCUGGUGUAGCGGUGGAAUGCGCAGAUAUCAGGAGGAACACCAAUGGCGAAGGCAGAUCUCUGGGCCGUAACUGACGCUGAGGAGCGAAAGCAUGGGGAGCG
rnacentral:rRNA from 1 species